GUGUCAGCAGCCGCGGUAAUACAGAGGCCUCUAGCGUUAGGCGGAAUCACUGGGCUUAAAGCGUGUGUAGGCGGGUCGUUAAGUGCCUUGUGAAAUCCCCUGGCUCAACCAGGGAACUGCUUGGCAUACUGGCGAUCUUGAGCCACCUAGGGGCAACUGGAACAGACGGUGGAGCGGUGAAAUGCGUAGAUAUCGUCUGGAACGCCAAUGGUGAAGACAGGUUGCUGGGGGUGCGCUGACGCUGAGACACGAAAGCCAGGGGAGCAAACGGGAUUAGAAACCCGGGUAGUCC
rnacentral:rRNA from 1 species